rnacentral:rRNA from 1 species
UUCCGGGGGCCAUGCCUGUUCGAGCGUCAUUA